GAGAAGGGGUGCCAUUUUCUAAUAGCUGUGUUCGAUUUGACUACAUCGUUACACUAGUGUAAGACGGUGUAGCACUGAGACAUUCGAUUUGGUCAGUGUAGUUCCACUAACGCAUUCGAUUUAUCGGUGUAACGUAAAAUUUCUACACUAUUCUACACUGACUGGAGAGAGGGUGUAGCAGUGUAGAAAGUAAAAUAAAAUGGCGUCAAUAGAUGGGACAGUAUAUCAGUGUGGGAAUUGCCUGAAUUUUUUUAAUAAAAAAGAAGAUAUAUUUCAACAUGAAUGUUUCAUAAUAUCGGCACCGAAUAAUCAAGAAUCCGACGAAUCGACCAAAAGAAACGAAACUCAAAUAAAUGCUAGCUGGAAUGAUAAACAAACAAAAAUGUUAAUUUCGUUAUAUUCCCAGAAUCAUAAUUUAGUCGGUAAAGGUACAAAUAAAAAAUUU
rnacentral:lncRNA from 1 species